GUGCCAGCCGCCGCGGUAAUACGGAGGUGGCAAGCGUUGUUCGGAAUUACUGGGCGUAAAGGGCGCGUAGGCGGCAUGACAAGUCAGAUGUGAAAGCCCCGGGCUUAACCUGGGAACUGCAUCUGAAACUGUAAUGCUUGAGUUCUGGAGGGGGUAGUGGAAUUCCCAGUGUAGCGGUGAAAUGCGUAGAUAUUGGGAGGAACACCUGCGGCGAAGGCGGCUACCUGGACAGAGACUGACGCUGAGGCGCGAAAGCUAGGGGAGCGAACGGGAUUAGAAACCCCCGUAGUCC
rnacentral:rRNA from 1 species